rnacentral:SRP_RNA from 1 species
ACCGGAGGCAGUGGUGCAUGCCUAUAGUCCCAGCUACUCAGGAGGCUGAGGCUGGAGGUCGCUUGAGUCCAGGAGUUCUGGGCUGUAGUGCGCUAUGCCCAUCAGGUGUCGGCACUGAGUCCGGCAUCAAUAUGGUGACCUCCUGGGAGCAGGGGACCACCAGGUUGCCUAAGGAGGUGUUAACCGGCCCAGGUUGGAAACAGAGCAGGUCAAACCUCCCAUGCUGAUCAGUAGUGGGAUCGCGCCAGUGAAUAGCCACUGCACUCCAGCCUGGGCAACAUAGCGAGACCCUGUCUAU